rnacentral:rRNA from 1 species
UGAGCUUGAUCCUGGCUCAGGACGAACGCUGGCGGCGUGCCUAAUACAUGCAAGUCGAGCGCAGGAAGCCGGCGGAUCCCUUCGGGGUGAAGCCGGUGGAAUGAGCGGCGGACGGGUGAGUAACACGUGGGCAACCUACCUUGUAGACUGGGAUAACUCCGGGAAACCGGGGCUAAUACCGGAUGAUCAUUUGGAUCGCAUGAUCCGAAUGUAAAAGUGGGGAUUUAUCCUCACACUGCAAGAUGGGCCCGCGGCGCAUUAGCUAGUUGGUAAGGUAAUGGCUUACCAAGGCGACGAUGCGUAGCCGACCUGAGAGGGUGAUCGGCCACACUGGAACUGAGACACGGUCCAGACUCCUACGGGAGGCAGCAGUAGGGAAUCAUCCGCAAUGGGCGAAAGCCUGACGGUGCAACGCCGCGUGAACGAUGAAGGUUUUCGGAUCGUAAAGUUCUGUUAUGAGGGAAGAACAAGUGCCGUUCGAAUAGGUCGGCACCUUGACGGUACCUCACGAGAAAGCCCCGGCUAACUACGUGCCAGCAGCCGCUAGUAUCGUCGGC